AGCCUUCUGUAUCCGAGCUGAGAUUUCAUUACACACCAGACCACAAGGGCUGAUGAGACUCACAGAAUAAGUGAUGUA
rnacentral:pre_miRNA from 1 species